rnacentral:rRNA from 1 species
GACGAACGCUGGCGGCGUGCCUAAUACAUGCAAGUCGAACGCUUUUUCUUUCACCGGAGCUUGCUCCACCGAAAGAAAAAGAGUGGCGAACGGGUGAGUAACACGUGGGUAACCUGCCCAUCAGAAGGGGAUAACACUUGGAAACAGGUGCUAAUACCGUAUAACAAGUAAAACCGCAUGGUUUUACUUUGAAAGGCGCUUUUGCGUCACUGAUGGAUGGACCCGCGGUGCAUUAGCUAGUUGGUGAGGUAACGGCUCACCAAGGCAACGAUGCAUAGCCGACCUGAGAGGGUGAUCGGCCACAUUGGGACUGAGACACGGCCCAAACUCC